UACAGAGGUCUCAAGCGUUGUUCGGAAUUACUGGGCGUAAAGGGCUCGUAGGUGGCCAACUAAGUCAGACGUGAAAUCCCUCAGCUUAACUGGGGAACUGCGUCUGAUACUGGAUGGCUUGAGUUUGGGAGAGGGAUGCGGAAUUCCAGGUGUAGCGGUGAAAUGCGUAGAUAUCUGGAGGAACACCGGUGGCGAAGGCGACUCUUUGGCCUGUAACUGACGCUGAGGCGCGAAAGCGUGGGGAGCAAACAGG
rnacentral:rRNA from 1 species